AAUCUUCCACAUUGUCCGACAGCUAGUCGGACCAACCCCCCUUUAUUAAAGAAGUUCUUCGGAUCGUUAAACGCUGUUGUAAGUGACGAAUAUGUACCCUAUUAACUUUCUGUACCUUUACGGUACCUCAUUAGAAAGCCACGGCUCACUAUGUCCGAACAGCCGCGGUAAUACGUAGGUGGCAAGCGUUGUCCGGAAUUAUUGGGCGUAAAGCGCGCGCAGGCGGUCCUUUAAGUCUGAUGUGAAAGCGCACGGCUCAACCGUGGAGGGUCAUUGGAAACUGGGGGACUUGAGUACAGAAGAGGAAAGUGGAAUUCCAAGUGUAGCGGUGAAAUGCGUAGAGAUUUGGAGGAACACCAGUGGCGAAGGCGACUUUCUGGUCGGUAACUGACGCUAAGGCGCGAAAGCGUGGGGAGCAAAC
rnacentral:rRNA from 1 species